rnacentral:rRNA from 1 species
UACAGAGGGGGCAAGCGUUAUUCGGAAUUAUUGGGCGUAAAGGGCGCGUAGGCGGCUUUGCAAGUGGCGGGUGAAAUCCCUCGGCUUAACCGAGGAACUGCCUGCCAGACUGUGAGGCUUGAGACCGGGAGAGGUGAGUGGAAUUCCCAGUGUAGCGGUGAAAUGCGUAGAUAUUGGGAGGAACACCAGUGGCGAAGGCGGCUCACUGGACCGGAACUGACGCUGAGGCGCGAAAGCGUGGGGAGCAAACAGG